UUGUUUCUAUAGUUGAAUAACAACGAUGAUUUUUCAUGUCAUAGGUCAUGGUUGGAUCCAUGUGGAAAUU
rnacentral:tRNA from 1 species